UGUGUAGGCGGCUUUUUAAGUUUGGUGUGAAAUCUCCCGGCUCAACUGGGAGGGUGCGCCGAAAACUGAAAGGCUAGAGUGCGGGAGAGGAGAGUGGAAUUCCUGGUGUAGCGGUGAAAUGCGUAGAUAUCAGGAGGAACACCGGUGGUGUAGACGGCUCUCUGGACCGUAACUGACGCUGAGACACGAAAGCGUGGGUAGCAAACAGGAUUAGAUACCCUGGUAGUCCACGCCCUAAACGAUGCAUAUUUGGUGUGGGUCAUCCAGUUGAUCCGUGCCGGAGCUAACGCGUUAAAUAUGCCGCCUGGGGAGUACAGUCGCAAGGCUGAA
rnacentral:rRNA from 1 species